rnacentral:rRNA from 1 species
CUCAGGAUGAACGUUGGCGGCGUGCCUAAUUACAUGCAAGUCGAACGAAGAGUUUAGAGUAGCAAUACUUUGAUCCUCUUAGUGGCGAACGGGUGAGUAACGCGUUGGUGACCUACCCCAAAGAUAGGGAUAACAGUUCGAAAGGACUGCUAAUACCUAAUGUUAUCAUUUGGCUUAGAAGCCUUUUGAUUAAAGGAGCUUGCUCCACUUUGGGAGGGGCCUGCGUACCAUCAGCUAGUUGGUAGGGUAAUGGCCUACCAAGGCUAUGACGGUUAGGGGACCUGAGAGGGUGGCCCCCCACAAUGGAACUGAAACACGGUCCAUACACCUACGGGUGGCAGCAGUAGGGAAUAUUGGUAAUGUGCGAAAGCGCGAACCAGCAACGCCGCGUGUGCGAAGAAGGCCUUCGGGUUGUAAAGCACUUUUCGGGAGGAAGAGGAAGGACUGUACUCCCGGAAUAAGUCUCGGCUAACUACGUGCCAGCAGCCGCGGUAAUACGUAGGAGGCGAACGUUAUCCGGAUUUAUUGGGCGUAAAGCGCGUGUAGGCGGUUUGAUAAGUUGGACGUGAAAGCUCCUGGCUCAACUAGGAGAGGUCGUUCAAUACUGUUAGACUUGAGGACGGUAGAGGGAGGUGGAAUUCCAGGUGUAGUGGUGAAAUGCGCAGAUAUCUGGAGGAACACCAGUGGCGAAGGCGGCCUCCUGGACCGUUCCUGACGCUCAGACGCGAAAGCUAGGGUAGCAAACGGGAUUAGAGACCCCGGUAGUCCUAGCUGUAAACGAUGUGAACUUGGCGUCGGUGGGAUUAAAUCCAUCGGUGUCGAAGCUAACGCGAUAA